UUGAAAGCCUAAUGCAUGGUUUUGACUGAUAAAAUCAUUUAAAAUCCAAUACUAAUGACACUGCUGACACUUUUUGACUUUUACAUAAACCAGAAUGAGGAAACUUUGAGUUCAGCACUAUUAAAAAUAAAACACACCCAAACUUGUAAACACUGAAUAUUUCUUUUUAUUCUCUCUUAAUGCUUCAGUGUAUAUUUAGCUUCCAGAAUUAUUUAAGAAAGGCAUGUACAGAAAAUCCAUUAUUAAACUUGUUUUUCGAAAAUCCUGAUCUUAUCAUCUCUAUAGGGCUGCAGUUGAAAACAAAAACAAAAAGAAACAAAAAAAGAAUUCCAUGGCCGAUUUUUUUCUUGCUUGCUGUUUUGAUUUGUAUUUGUUCAAUUAUGCAUCUCUGAAUGAACCUAGCCUCUCUUCCUCUAACCUUCUUCUGAACUUAAAUGAUUUGUAUGUGGUGUAAUCAUAUUUCCUGGUCCCAUGGCACUCCAGAGUCUAACUGUGUAUGCCUCCCUCUCAUUUCCAUACAGAGAACCAAAUGCUUGGCCAACUUCCCUAAUUAGAGUCGCUGGGCCCCUGUGGCCUCCUGGCAAUACCCUCUCUUCCCAGCAUUCUUCCAGUUUUGCCGGUUUUUUUCCAUCUCUCCCUGCAGUAGCCUCUCCUCCACUUUCCCCUGCCUCUAAGGAGCUGGCUUCAACAUUUGUUUAUAUACCAAAAUAAUUGAGGGCUAAAUUAAUUUUCAGCUUUAACUUAUCAAGCUCCUUUUCAAUUGUGGUAGUUCUCCCCCUUCAGACUCUGGACUUUGGCAAUUAGCAAAGGUUUUGAAAACAGCAAGUGCACGAUAGGUAUUGAUUGACCGGUUGAUGGACUGUGUCCUCCAGGCCUGGAGUCUCUGAUUUUAUGAUUGAUUGACUUGCUGGAUUUUCUUCUUCACGGGUUCCCCAUGCCGGAUCACUAAAUCACACAGAAAGCCAUUGAGCGUGUUUGUAAAGCCCAUUCUUUUAAUAUCUCUGCUUCUUUUGUAAAAGAGGCUUAAUGGAAGAAUGAAUACAAACUCCUUCACUAUGAGUUUUGUAAAUGACAGGAAACAUAUUUCAUAUCUUUUUAUAUACUAAAUACUCGAUAUAUUGGCGAAGACAUAGCAGAAGCUAAAGUUUAGGGGAAAUAUGAUUGUGAAGUAUGUUGGACAGCCUCAAGAUGGUGAUUAAUGGUCUCCACUUCCUGAUAUGUAUGCUGUGUUUGACCCCCCCCCCCACCUAAGCAUAAGCCAGCCUAGUGACUUGAUUUCAAAUAAUAGAAAAUAGCAGAGAUGGUGGGAUCUCACCUUAGUGGAUGGUUAUAAGAGAUUGUAAGUUCCAUAUUGCUAGCAGAGUCUCUUUAUUGACUGUCCCCCAUGCUACCUUUAAUAAAGCAAACUGCCAUCUUGAAGAGGCAAGGAAUUAAGGGCUGCCUCUGUCUAACAGUCAUCCAGGAACUGAGGCCAUUAGUCCAACAGCCCUUGAAGAAUGAAUUCUGCCAACAACCACAUCAGCCUAGAAAUGAAUUCUUUCCCCGUUGUGCCUUUAGAUAAGAUUCCAGACCAGACCAAUACCUUAAUUAUAGCCUUUUGGAAACUCUGAAAUAGAAGACUCAAAUAAGUCAUGCCCAGACUCUGAUCCACAGCAAGUAUGAGAUAAUAAGUGUGCAUUGCUUUAAGCCACUAAAUUUAUUAUAAUCCAUUAUAUAGCAAUAGAUAAUGAAUACAGAAUGGUCAUGUUUGUGGAGUGUCAUCUCUGUACUGGACCUUGGAAGAGAGCUGCCUGAUGCACAGAACCUCCUUUUGCCUUAACAACCAUUCUGCAAGGUAUGGCUUUGGUUGGCAUAUAGGCAUGACUCUACAUUGCAAAGACAUAGAAAAAGCAGUAGUUGAGAGAAAUUAGCCUAGCCUGCCCAAUACCACACAGAGCCAAGAUUCCAAAACCUGAACUAGAUCCUAUGAAAAUGGGAAUAGGAAAAAAGGAAAGAGAGACCUCUGUGAGUCCUGGUUCCAUGUGUCAGGAAUAAGAUAGGGGAUUGAGCUUUAGGUAACACAGGUGAAACUGGCCUCCAAAAUACAAGAGAAGGUGAAAUAUUAACAGGGUCUAAGUUGUGAUAUACAGAAAUAAUACUCUAGGGGAGGUAGAAAAUCAGUUUGAACUCUCUAGUGUUGCCUAAGAAUCAGUUGGCUAAUGAAGUUAUAGAAAGAAUUCAAAAAAGAGCCACAGAGAUGGUGUCCAAUUUUUUUUUUCAAAAUCUGCUGCAAGAAAUUUCUUUUCCUACUCAUUUUUUCCAGGAAGGCAAUGUUUUACAUUGCUGAGAGGUUCUUAGGCUAGCUAGAAAUAUAGGUAACAAUAAUGCAGCUGAAAUGCUAUACAUUUGUAAUGAAACUAACAGAAUGCCAGACACUAGAAAUGAUACAUAUUAGACAACAACAACGAAAUAAACCCCCAUAAGAGAAAAAUAAAUUGCUUAACUAAAUUAUUUCCUCAAGAAAGUCAGCUGUAACGGAAAAUUUAUGAGGAUUCUGGGCUUUUGUAAGAGUUUUAAAAACUGCUACCACUAACCAUAUAUUGUUACUUCUAAUUUCUUUACAAAACAACAUAUUUUUUCUUGAUACAAAUAUAUUGCUAGUACUAUUCUCAUUCACAACAGGCAUGAAUAGGGAUACACAGAGUGAGGUGUUUUGUUUAGAGAUAACUAGAUAAGAAGUUGGAAGAAGGAGUGCAAACGAGAAAGGGAUUAAGAAAAUAACUGGGUACAAAAUAAAACAACAAAAUAAAAUGUUUGCUGGUAAAAGAAUCGGCUGAGUUAGAUGUAUUAGUAAAUCCAUCUCGGGAACAAAUUGGAAAGCUAACUCCACAAAUUACCUUCUGUAUAUGGCUUGUCAAUUCCUGGGCCUCAGAUUUCUCAUCUUAAAACUCAGAUUAUAAUGUUUGCUUCUACAUUAAAUGGCCUAAGGUAGAUGGCAAUUUCUUGUAGUGUAGUAGACUCAGAAUGAUGUCUGUUCAAUCUGAAACUUGAGUCUGUGUUACCUUCAUAAAGGGGAAUAAUGGAAGUCAUAAAGAAAAAAACAUUUGGAUCAUCAUCUUCCCAUGAUAGAUUUCUUUGGUGAAGGUGGAAGAGAGCUAGAAAAUGGAAAAGAACAGAUCAAACAGAGGCAAAGCCUAGAAAACGUGGCCGAGCCCAGCGAGAUGUCUAGCAAACACAUUUCCUCUUCCUCUCAAGGCAAACUAUGUGACUCCCUUACAGGUGAGAGAGACCAUGUGAGCAGUUCUUGCCAAUGGAGAGUGAGUGAAAGUGAUUUGUUUACAGUUAAAUAAUAAAAGUUGUACCUAAGUGUGUCUUCCCCAUGUGUCUCCUCUUUCCCAUCUGCCAGCUGGGUUAUAACUGGGAAACGCUGAGCUGUGUUUUGAAGAAGGGCUACCAGAUAAGAGCAGCCUGAGUCCCUGAAUGUUGGCCUAGAGCAUGGGCUGAGUCCCAUAUUGACUCCUUUGGACCGAAUAUGAAUGAAAAAGAAAGCCUUAGUGUGUUGAUCCAUUCAGAAUAUGGAAUUGUAAAGGCAACUCCUAUUAUUUACAAAUAGAGCAUAAAUGGGAGAAAAACAGGGGCAUUGUGUAGCCAACGCUGAAUUUAUGUUUGUUUGGGAAGUAAAAGUCUAGGUUCCGAGAACACAUAAAAACUCAUUGAUAAUUUUUUUUGUGUGUGUCAUAGAAAUAUUCCCCUUGGAUUCCUGUCAGUGGUCAAUUUCUCCUGUCCAUUGAAAAUCAUUGUAUUUACAACAUAAUUCUGCAUGUGUGGCCAUUAGAUACGAACGGGAUACCAGCAUACUGCCCAGACUGAUUGCUCCAAAAUGGAUUCCCAAAGCGGAAAAUCUAUAAAAGAGUCAUCAAAGUUUUCAAGAUGAGAACAAGCUGCAGCGGAGCAGACCAGACGGGGAGCUAGAAGCGAAAUAAAAAGUGAAACCUGAAAUUAAAAACACGUCAAAAUCCAUCAGUUUGGUAUGGCUGAAAUAUAUUCUUACCUAGUGGGAACUGAUUGCCCUUGAGGGUGUCUCAAAUCUCUUUCCAGCCCUGCACUUUGAUGCUUUAAGAUCCUGAGCUGGGAGAUAAUUGGCUGAAUAUUUUGCCUUUGAUUUGGAAUUUCUAACCCUCCACCCAGUCCUGUAUGUUGUUGCUACAAUGUUUAUUUUCUGACCUGGGCCACUUGCACCUACUUCGUGAUACUGUUGGGUACUUUCCUGUAGCCUGAAUUAGUUUAAUGGUCCUGACAAUGAAUUUCCAAGUAAUUGCAAUGGCUUCACUCCAUGAUAUGUCUCUCAGGGCACUCUUGGAAAUUAAAUGUUACUUCUCAACAGUUAUUUGCUUACUUCAUCCCCAUUUUGUUAAAUAAUCAUAAAAACCCUUUUGAAUUUAAAUAUGCGUGCUCUAUUAUCUGAAAGGUUUGGCAAGAUGAAGAGGUUGGGUGAAACUAAGCUGACACCAUGCUCUCUUUGCUCUCUCACUGGAUGUUCCAUUGGUAUUGUGUUCAUCUUAGGCUUUAUGGAGCUUACUUACUGCUCUGUGCCCACUGGGGUCCUGCUUUCUUUACAACAACUGUAGCAGAAAUACCUGCUGUUUAGAAGUGGCUUGAGCCUUUCAACAACACUGAAAAUACUUCAACCUAGUUUACAGCAAAGGAAGAAGUUGAAUAUUCUUUUGUAUUGGAGGACUUUUCCACAGGAUUUCCAAGGAUUUAUUCUGAUUGAAAAAAAUAGGCAGUGUCCUAAGACACCUGCAGGUGAUCUUGUAACAAUGAUUACACACCUUUUCUGAGUCCAGUUGAUGAGAAGGAUUUGCCCCUCCUGUUGGAGUCCUUUCCUUCUAGAGGAGUUGUGGAGGUUGUCCACCUGUACAAUUGGAGGGGAGGAAGUUGCCUUCUUUUGAAGAAUUUCACUCAAUGAGACAUUAAGUGACUUGUCCAAAUUCAACAAAAAAGACUUCUGCCAUAUCCCCAUUUCAAAUGUUCCAGAGCAGUAUGGUGUUGGAGAGAGGUGUUCAGCUUUGGACAGAGACACUUGAUCUGAGUUCUGGGACCAUCCCUUUUCGUCUGAAUGACUGUCCACAUCAUAACAGCAUCUGAGCUUCAGGUCUUAGAGAAAGAACAGUCUAUCUUUCAGGGGUUGUUGUUGGUCCUAUAAAAUGGCUUUAAUCUACCCCAAAAUAUCAUAGAUACUAAGAAAUAAUAAAUACUAUAAUUCUUAGUUCUCUCAUGAUUAUUUCUAACAGGCUGGUUGGUUUAAGACAGGCACUUGUGAUAUGAGUCAUGAUAGAGCCCAGAAAUUAUUCUUAGAAAACUUAAAGUUUUAUUCCUUGUAUGUGAAAUUUACCUGACCACUUGACAUGGUAGGUUCUUGUUCAUCAAAAGUACACUACACAGAUCUGAUGAUUUCAUGAAGGAAGGCUACGUGGAUUAGCUAAUGGAAAAAGAGAAUUUCCAUUUUCAUCCCCAUACCCCCCUGUAUGGCUCUAUUGUGUGAUCUUAGGCAAACAAGUACAUUUUCCCAUCUCUUUGGGGAGGAAGAGCAGAGGGCUCUAUCUGCAAUAUCAAGGCUAUAUCUGUGUAAAUUAUUUCCAAGAGACGAGUGAGAUUGACUGCAAUAAUGUCCCUCAAGUACUUGGCAUUCCUUGGAAGAAAACAUGAUGUAAUUGGACUUUAAUAACUUGGAUGAAAAUGUAUCCUAGGGCCAUAAAAUGUUUCUCGACAACAUUAGAUCUAGGCGAGUUAUUAUGAUUACCUCCUAAGAAGUGUUCGGAUUAACAGAUAUGUGAUUAUAAAGUCCAUUACAAAGGCAGAAUCAGAAGAAGGGAGAGGUACAGAAAAGGACCCUGAUAUUUCAAUGCUUCACACUCCUGGACAUUUUAGGCAGAGAAGUUAUUUUAUCACUUGUAUUGCCAGGCUCAGUAGGGGAAUAGCUGAACGAGGAGGCCUGUCUCGAAUACCAUUUCCACCUUCCUACUUCCUUUGUAUCACAGGCUGCUUAAAGGAACUUCCUUCAAUCACAGUGUGUAAGAGCAAUGCCAUGAGAGUGAAAACACUUGGGUCUACCAUUUCUGCCUCCAGCAAGUAUGUGAUUCAUACAAACAUCCAUUCGGCAAAGUCUGACUGAAUACCUUCUGUUCAAGGUGUUACACAUACACAAACAUAAAUACAACAUGAUUCUUGACCUCAGUUAAAAAUGCUCUAGUGGAGAAGACCAGAUGUUGUGUGCAAAUACACCUCUUUACAGAUUCCUAAAGCAUUAUGGCUGAUUUCCCAGUGCUGAUUAUUCCUAGUCAGUUAUGCUAAUCUCACCCCCACCACCUCAUUAUUAUUGAGGGAUUCAGGGAUGAAUGUGGGUCUAAGCCACUUUGGGGUAUUGAAACACUAGAAGUGACUUUCUAGAGAUUUUUGGUAGGAAAAAAAAUUCCCCAGUGUUUGGUUUGUCUUAAAAGACCAUUCCAUACCCAUAAGUGAAACUAGCUUAAAGACGUUAAAGCUGUUGAUAGCAGAGAAAAGAGAGAGAGAGAGAGAAACUGC